CAGCUAACCAGCUCCACCCUGUCUCUGCCCUUUCCCAUUUAUGAUUUGAGGCCAAGGACAGAAAAACCAACUACACUCCUCAUUGGGCCCAGUGUGCACCAACUGCUGGGACACAGUCCUCUGGGGGUUCCAAAUUGUGCACCAGGCUCUGGGCCCAGGAGAGCCCUAUGCUGCUGAGAUUUUAGGUACCAGGCAUGAGUGGCUACAUAUCUGGGUGGACAGUGAGUAUGCCUGAGCCCGUGGUCAGCUGCAUGAGCCCAUGGAGCUCCUCCUCUUCAGGUCAGGAACAUGAAGCCAUACCAGGAAGGCCUAGGAAGAGCAAAGUCCUAGAAGCAGAGAUAGGAGAACCUUGGAGGCCAGAGGUCUCAGGAAUAGAGACCUUUGCCAUGUUCUCACCAGAGGAUCAGACUCUUUGCUACACUCCUAGUCUGUGUGUCAAAGGACCUCAUGUUGAUUUAUCUUUUUUACUACACAGCUCUUUACUGGUGACUUUCUUUGAUGGUGGCAUGUAUUGGAAAAACUCGGGGGUGACUCCACAUCUCUACCCUUCCAGAGCUCAGGCUUGUUUGCAGGAGACUGUUAUACCAGCCCAAAUCUACCCAUGGACUGAGCAUCGGGAUGUGGCACUGCAGGAUCCACAGCAGGUAUACUUUGCUUAUGGAGUGACUUGGAAAAGUUCUUGAUAGCCCCCAUGGGUCCUGCUUCCCUUUUUUGGUCAUCCUUCCUGGAUGCAUGGCUACCCAGGGGAUGCAGCCUCUCCCCUUCCAGGCAGAUUGUUAACUGGGCUCCAACCAGGUGGGAGAUGGAUAGGGAGGCAGGACAAGAGAGACAGGUGGGCAUUUCUCCCCCUCCUUCCCUUCCUUCUUACCUCCCAGUGUUGUAUGAUUUCUCAGGCUAUGGUUCCAGGCUCCACCAGUGACAGCCGCGGCUUCGGUGACCCCACCUUCCCCUAUGUCCCCGCAGGACUCUCACUGGGCUCUUGGUGGCCCUGCACUCUCCUCUAAAUCUUCCUGUCUGCCAGGCAUGGUGGUGCACACCUGUAAUCCCAGCACUUGGAAGGCUGAGGCAGGAGGAUUGUUGCAAGUUCGAGACCAGCCUCGACUACAAAGUGAGCUCAAGGCCAGCCUGAACUGCACAGUGAGACCCUGUCUCAAAAAGACAAAAAAAAAGAAAAAAAAGUCUUCCUCUGCCCACAUUCUAGAUACCAAGGCCCUCUCAGUAUCCACCAAGUCUGGCUGUUUAAACCACACUUAAUAAACGGUACCACUGUUAGCACUGUGAGUGACGUCAGUAGCCGGACUGCAUUCACCACCCCCAGUUCCACAACACAGGCUCUGCCCAAUGAAGCAGACUCCCUGCCCCUCAGCCCCUAGCAGUCCCUGUUUCUGUUCCUGAUUUUGCCUGUUUGGGAUGCUUCAUAAGUGUGGAGUCCUGCACCCUGGCUUACCACCCCAGGCAGCACUCCUUGGUUUCCACUUUGUGAAUACUUACAGACUUAGACUUCAAGUUCAACACCAGCACAGCCAAGGGCUCAAGGGGUGGCACGGUCUGGAAGGGCUGCAGAAGCCACAGCGGCUGUGCAGGACUAGACACUGGAGGCAGGUGACAGGCAUAGCUGUCCUCUGUGAAGCUUUUAAAGGACUCACAAUGACACUGUGAUCCCAUUUAUGAACCAGGAAGCCAGGCCUGCCUGCCCACAGUGCCACUUAAUGUCAGCAAAUAAAAUCCAAUCAAUAAGAAGUCCCAGAAGCCCUUGAUCACAGUGUGGAGGCUGGGCAGGGGCAGGGCUGGCUGCCCAUUGUGAGAGGCACUUAACCUGCUGUGAACCAGCAGCUACACAGGGCCUUGAACACAGCUGGCAUAUUAUGGAGGUGGCAGGCAGUUGGGGUGGGGUCUUUGGAGAUUAGCACCCAGGAGCUGUUGCGGGUGCCCAUUCAUCAUUUGUUUUUACUGAACACCAAGUGUGGAUGGGCCUGGGCCAAGCAGAUGCAAAAGGCCAUUCCCUGGUGGGAAUGGGACUGGGUGCUCACCUGUGCCAUGAAGGGCUGUGGCUAAGGAUCAGACUGCCCAAAGCUUU
ensembl:lincRNA